UCCCCAAUGGUCCAGUGCAAGGAUUCUUCACUUUCACUGCCAAGAGCACAGGUUCAAUCCCUGAUUGGGGAA
rnacentral:tRNA from 1 species